rnacentral:rRNA from 1 species
AUGGAGAGUUUGAUCCUGGCUCAGGACGAACGCUGGCGGCGUGCCUAACACAUGCAAGUCGAGCGGGAUCCAUCCAGUAGCAAUACUGGUGAAGAUCUAGCGGCGAACGGGUGAGUAACACGUGAGAAACCUGCCCCGGACUCUGGGAUAACACGAGGAAACCCGUGCUAAUACCGGAUACCUUCUUUUGACCGCAUGGUCAGAUGAAGAAAGAUUUAUCGGUUUGGGAGGGUCUCGCGGCCUAUCAGCUAGUUGGCGGGGUAAUGGCCCACCAAGGCAUCGACGGGUAGCUGGUCUGAGAGGACGAUCAGCCACACUGGGACUGAGACACGGCCCAGACUCCUACGGGAGGCAGCAGUGGGGAAUCUUGCGCAAUGGGCGAAAGCCUGACGCAGCAACGCCGCGUGCGGGAUGAAGGCCUUCGGGUUGUAAACCG